GUCUAUGGCUAUAACCACCCUGAAUGCACCUGAUCGCAUCUGAUCUCAGAAGCUAAGCAGGGUCGGGCCUGGUUGGUACUUGGAUGGAAGACUUUAAGUUCAGCCUGGGCUACAUAGUGA
ensembl:rRNA 5S_rRNA 5S ribosomal RNA